GUGAAGCGGCAACAGCUCAAAUUUGAAAUCUGGCCCCCUCGGGGCCCGAGUUGUAAUUUGUAGAGGAUGUUUCGGGUGUGGCUCCGGUCUAAGUUCCUUGGAACAGGACGUCAUAGAGGGUGAGAAUCCCGUAUGUGACUGGCAGCCUACGCCCAUGUGAAACUCCUUCGACGAGUCGAGUUGUUUGGGAAUGCAGCUCAAAAUGGGUGGUAAAUUUCAUCUAAAGCUAAAUAUUGGCCAGAGACCGAUAGCGCACAAGUAGAGUGAUCGAAAGAUGAAAAGCACUUUGGAAAGAGAGUUAAACAGUACGUGAAAUUGUUGAAAGGGAAGCGCUUGCAACCAGACUUGCGUGCGGCCGAUCAUCCGGUGUUCUCACCGGUGCACUCGGUCGUGCUCAGGCCAGCAUCGGUUUCGGCGGCUGGAUAAAGGCCAUGGGAAUGUAGCUCCUCUCGGGGAGUGUUAUAGCCCGUGGUGCAAUGCAGCCCGCUGGGACCGAGGACCGCGCUUCGGCUAGGAUGCUGGCGUAAUGGUUGUAAGCGACCCGUCUUGAAACACGGACCAAGGAGUCUAACAUCUAUGCGAGUGUUUGGGUGUCAAACCCAUACGCGGAAUGAAAGUGAACGGAGGUGAGAACCCUUAAGGGUGCAUCAUCGACCGAUCCUGAUGUCUUCGGAUGGAUUUGAGUAAGAGCAUAGCUGUUGGGACCCGAAAGAUGGUGAACUAUGCCUGAAUAGGGUGAAGCCAGAGGAAACUCUGGUGGAGGCUCGCAGCGGUUCUGACGUGCAAAUCGAUCGUC
rnacentral:rRNA from 1 species